GAUGAACGCUGGCGGCGUGCCUAAUACAUGCCAGUCGAGCGAACGGACGAGAAGCUUGCUUCUCUGAUGUUAGCGGCGGACGGGUGAGUAACACGUGGAUAACCUACCUAUAAGACUGGGAUAACUUCGGGAAACCGGAGCUAAUACCGGAUAAUAUUUUGAACCGCAUGGUUCAAAAGUGAAAGACGGUCUUGCUGUCACUUAUAGAUGGAUCCGCGCUGCAUUAGCUAGUUGGUAAGGUAACGGCUUACCAAGGCAACGAUGCAUAGCCGACCUGAGAGGGUGAUCGGCCACACUGGAAGUGAGACGGGGUCCAGACGCCUGCGGGAGGCCACAGUAGGGAAUCUUCCGCAAUGGGCGAAAGCCUGACGGAACAACGCCGCGUGAGUGAUGAAGGUCUUCGGAUCGGAAAACUCUGUUAUUAGGGAAGAACAUAUGUGUAAGUAGCUGUGCACAUCUUGACGGUACCUAAUCAGAAAGCCACGGCUAACUACGUG
rnacentral:rRNA from 1 species